CCUCUGCUUCUCAGUGGAUUUUUUUUCUAAUUAAUCAAUACUCGAACCAGCGCUUGUAGUUUUCACCGCUUCGCAUUCUCCACAAACGUACGUCGGCAGACGAAAAUAACCGCUAUAUAGUAAACGAAGUUUGGAAAGGUACGGCGGGGAUUGCAACAAAAAGAAGAAAAACAUGGUGAAGGGUCUGCUCGCAAAAUUGUAUCUGGUUUCCAAAGGGACUUCGUUGCGUCAAUUUUUGGAAUAAAAUAUCGAAAUUGAGGCUCAGCUAUUUCGAACUGUUCAAUCAUUCAACGGUGUACCAAAGGGAAUUCGAGGGAAUUCGCGAUGAUGGUUGAAGGGAAAAAUCGAUCUGUUACCGUUAUCUCCUGCUUCGAGACGCUAUCAUUGGAGCUGAUAAGUUAUCGAAACCAUUUGAAAUUUUAAUGUCAGAGAUGAAACUAGAAUCGACCGGAAGUCAGAGAGAAAAGGCAUUUGAUUGUGUGGUGGUGUUGAAGCAAUGUUCAAUAAUGCAAUAAAAUUUUAAAACAAAUAUAAAA